CAGGUGGUUUGAGUGGCGCUUUCUUUUAAAUGUGUUCGGGACUUGGACAGGUAGACAAUAGUGUGGUGUGUAUCCGAAGGGUGAACCUUGGAGUUGAGCUGUGCGGCCAGGAGAACCUCGGCCUGGUGUCUGUGCAUGUGGUGACCAGUAAAUGGUGCACACAGUUUGUAGGUCUGUUGCUCGCAGUAUAGCGAGUAGUGCUUCCACACGGGUUUGCAGCAACACGCCGACGCUGGCUCAGCUAAGUUAUCCACACUGUUAAUCUUCACGUUGCUUGCAUUAUAGCAAGUAACGUUAGCGAUUCCACACUGGUUUGCAGCAACACGCCGACGCUGGCUCAGCUAAGUUAUCCACACUGUUAAUCUUCACGUUGCUUGCAUUAUAGCAAGUAACGUUAGCGAUUCCACACUGGUUUGCAGCAACACGCCGACACUGGCUCAGCUAGUUAUCCACACUGUUAAUCUUCACGUUGCUUGCAUUAUAGCAAGUAACGUUAGCGAUUCCACACUGGUUUGCAGCAACAGGCAACGCUGACGCUGGUGAGAGUGUGCUCAGCUAGUCACCCACACUGUUAAACUCCCUGGGCUUUAUAACAUCUAAUAAAUCUACUGUAGGCUGGCUUCAACUGAGGAUUACUUCGUCUGUCCAACUAGCCACUGUUUUUCCUGGGGUUAAUCAUUCCUUUAGUUUUUAUUUUGCUUUGAAUAUAUGUGCCACAACCGUGUCCUGACCUAGAGCUUGGUGGGCUUAGGGGGAAGGCCUGCUAGUUUAGCUUGCUAGUUGUACCGUUUGUUGGUUUGUUUAUUUGUCUGUGUCUUUCUUUCUUUUUGUCUAUGUUAUACAAUCAUUGUUCAUUGGCCUCGGGCAUGGUGCAAUAUCUCUCUUAGGGGGCAGUGUUCCUUUUGUAGUGUCCACCUGUGUGCAGUGGGAAACGCCGUGUGCGUGUACGGCCUAUUUGGUGUGGAGUCUCUUUGCAGUGUUUGAGUGUGUGCGUUUACACGCAAACUACUGACUUUAUUCACUGUGAUCAUAUUUUGCUGUGACUUAUUUAUUGGAGAGCCUUGUCACUGCCACCAACAUAGAAUAUUUGCCUGCCCUGACUGCAUGGUUGUAUUUAUUGUGUCUUAAGUGUUUUAAUAAAAGUAUAUUUUUGAUUA